CGAUUCCCAUCCUCAAGACCGGGGAGAAAAGAGGAGUAAAUUUUCCUAUUAUAGCCUUCUCUCGCACCUUCCCCGCUUCCCCCCAGCCGCCUCCACUGUCCUCACCGUCCCCAUCCUCAUCCAUGGCGAAAUCUUCGCCCCCAGCCUCGUGAAGAUCUAGCACGUCCGCCAUCUCGCCUUCGAUCGAGAUCUCGUCUGUGCCGCUCAGACACUAGGUACCUCGGGAAACUGUCGCAGAGGGGAAAGGUCACCAGUCAAGCUGACCAAUCAAAGGAUAACUCUAAAUCCCUCCCUCUGCACGAUAAAAAUACGCAAAUUGGGGCGGGCCUAGUUCGGAAAGAUGCCGGAAGUGUUUCUGUGGCCAUCUUGAGCAGGUCGCAAGCUAAAUCCUGCCAUCUUAGGAGGUACAGACCAUAGGGGUCGUGGCUUCCUCUUAACCGCGGUAGUUGCUGAUAAAUACUGUACUAUUAACAGUGAGGCCCGGCGUAAUUUCCUUAUUAGAGGGCUUCUUUACGUCUCUUCAUCCCAAACUGGGAAAUGAUUGUAGGUGAGGAAACUGUGGCUCAGAGAAGUAAUUUGACUUGUCCAACAUCAUAUGCAACUGGUGGUGGAGCUAAGUGGCUCAGAAAUCAAAGAUGGGGAAAUAGAGGCCAGAAGUAGAAGAAAAUAGAAGAAACACACUUGGUGAAAUGAAAAUUAGACCUUGAAUAAAAACUGUUUUUUCACUGGAUCUCUGAAUACCGAGGCCCCCUCCACCAUGGCCAGCCGGAGUGGGGGCCGGGGUCAUGGCCGGGGCCAGUUGACCUUCAACAUGGAGGCCGUGGGCAUUGGGAAAGGGGAUGCUUUGCCCCCACCCACCCUGCAGCCUUCUCCACUCUUCCCUCCCUUGGAGUUUCGCCCAGUACCUUUGCCCUCAGGAGAGGAAGGGGAAUAUGUCCUGGCACUGAAGCAGGAGCUACGAGGAGCCAUGAGGCAGCUC
rnacentral:sRNA from 1 species